rnacentral:misc_RNA from 1 species
GAUGAAGAACGUAGCGAAAUGCGAUACUUGGUGUGAAUUGCAGAAUCCCGUGAACCAUCGAGUCUUUGAACGCAAGUUGCGCCCGAAGCCAUCAGGUUGAGGGAACGUCUGCCUGGGCGUCACAUAUCGUUGCCCAAUGCCUAUUGCAGUGCAAUAGGAAUUUCUAGGGCGAAUGAUGGCUUCCCGUGAGCGUUGUUGCCUCGCGGUUGGUUGAAAAUCGAGUCCUUGGUAGGGUGUGCCAUGGUAGAUGGUGGUCGAGUUAGAACGAUACCGAUCAUGUGCAUGCUCCCCAAAAUAUGGCCUCUAUGACCCACACGCGUCUUUUGACGCUCAUGACGAGACCUCAGGUCAGGCGGGGCUACCCGCUGAAUUUAAGCAUAUCAAUAAGCGGAGGA